rnacentral:ncRNA from 2 species
GCUUAUUCUCAGGGCGGGGUGUAACUCCCCACCGGCGGUAAAUCAGCGAACGCUGAAAGCCCGCGAGCGCUCCAGAGCAAUCUGGAGGUCAGCAGAUCCGGUGUAAUUCCGGAGCCGACGGUUAUAGUCCGGAUGGGAGAGAGUAACG